rnacentral:rRNA from 1 species
UACAGAGGUCUCGAGCGUUAGGCGGAAUCACUGGGCUUAAAGCGUGUGUAGGCGGGUCGGUAAGUACCUUGUGAAAUCCCACGGCUCAACCGUGGAACUGCUGGGUAUACUGCCGAUCUUGUGCAACCUAGGGGCGAGCGGAACAGAUGGUGGAGCGGUGAAAUGCGUAGAUAUCAUCUGGAACGCCAAUGGUGAAAACAGGUAGAUGGGGCUGUGCUGACACUGAGACACGAAAGCCAGGGGAGCAAACGGG